CCAAUUAAGGAUGAGAACCCCUCUCCAACCCAGCAGGAGGCUGCAGUUGAGCAUCCACAGACCCCUGAGAAGGUUGAGUCUCCUCUAAACCAGCACGAGGCCCCAACUCUGACUCCACAGCUCCUUACGGAAGUUGUAGCUCAACCUCCAGAGCAUCAUGAGGUACCAGUUUCUCCUCUAAGUCAUGACCAAGUUCAGCCUCCAACAUUGCACAAUGUCACUGUUAAACCUGUGGAUCACAUCAUCACCAUGACUCCAUAUUUCACUCAUCAGGUUGAAACUUUAACCCAACAGGGGGCCCCAGCUCAGUUCUUAAUGUUCCCUGAGCAGUUUCAACAUUUGCAAGAGAUUAUAAUUCAGCAGCUAAAUACCCCUGAAUAUGAUGAACUUCCUCCAGUCCAUCAAGAGCCCAGAAUUCAGCCUCCAAUUCAGCUCUCCUCAGACUUUGAAAGUCCAUUGAGUGAUGAGGUGCUAUUUUCACCUCUAGAUCUGUCUCCAGUAUUCAGAAGUAAUUCACCUUUGCCUAAUACCACAGUUAAAAAUGUGGAUCUGGAGCUUACCAUACCUACAGCAGUCACUAUGGAGGUUGAACCUUCUCCAGUCCAGCAGGACAACCAUCCUAUUCCCAUUGAGUAGGCAGACUUUUUUCUAGUCCAGCCUGAUCUCCGUUCCCCACCUCUGCAUUCUCCUGAAAAGACUGAAUCUCCAGUCCAGCAAGAGGCCACAAUUCAGACUCCAGAUUCUCCUAAGGAGGUAGAACCUCCAGUCCAGCAAGACUUCCCAGCUGAACCACCAUUGCCCCUUAAGGAGGUUGAACCAUCUGUAACCCAGAAGGAAGCCUCAGGUCAUCCUCCAAAGUUCACGGAAGAGAUCAGCCCUCCACUGCAGCAGGAGAUACCAGCUCAGCCAUCAGAGCCACCUGGGAACGUCGAACUACGUCCUGUCCUACAGCAGGCCCCAACUCAGCUUUUAGAGCCACCUAAAGAGGUAGGAUCCUCUCCAGUCCAGCAAGCAGUCCCUGCUCAGUCUGCAGAGCCCCCUAUGGUGAUAGAACCCUCUCUGACUCAGCAGAUCUCCCCAUCUUUGCCUCUAGAGUUCCCUGAAGAGGUGGAACCAUCUCUAACACAGCAGGACAUUCCAGCUCAGAUUCCAGAGCCCCCUAUGGAGGCAGAACCUUCUCCACCCCAGCAGGAGGCCAUAGUUCAGGCUCCAGAGCCCCCUAAGGGGGCAGAACCUUCAAGCCAGCAGAUGGUCCCAGCUCAGGUUCCAGAGCCACCUAAGGAGGUUGCAGCUCAACCUCCAGCUCAUUGUGAGUUGACAAUUCCAACACCAGGUCAGGAUCAAGGUCAGCAUUCAACAUCGCCUAGUGUCAUAGUUCAACCUUUGAACCUGGGGCUUCCCAUCACUCCAGAACCCAUGACAGAGGUUGAACUUUCUCCAACCAUGCAGGAGACCCCAACUCAGCCUCCUAAGAAAGUUGGACCCCAACCUCCAGUAUAUCAAGAGGUAACAGUUCCAACACCAGGUCAGGAUCAAGUUCAGCACCCAGUGUCACCCAGCAUUGCAGUUCUACCUCUGGACCUGGGACUUAUCAAACCUCCAGAACCCACUACGGAGGUUGAACAUUCUACACCCCUGAAGAAGACUGUAGAGACUCCAAAGCACGCUAAGGUGACACUUCCACAUCCAGACGAGGUUCAGACUCAGCAUUCAAACCUGACUCAAGCCACAGUUCAACCUUUGGAUCUGGGGCUUACCAUCACUCCUGAAUCCACUACAGAGGUUGAACCUUCCACAGCCCUGAUGGCUACAGCUCCUCCUCCAAAACACCCUGAGGUGACACCUCCACCUUCAGAGAAGAGUCAGACUCAGCAUUCAAACCUGACUCAAGUCACAGUUCAGCCACUGGAUCUGGAGGUUACCAUAACUACAGAACCUACUACAGAGGUUAAACCGCCUCCAGCCACAGAGGAGACCUCCACUCAGCCUCCAGAUCUGGGUCUUGCUAUAAUUCCAGAACCCAAUACAGAGACUGGACAUUCUGCAGCCCUGGAGAAGACUACAGCUCCUCGUCCAGACCAGGUUCAGACUCAGCAUCAAAACCUGACUGAAGUCACAGGUCCACCUACUGAUCUAGAACCUACUCAUGAUUCAUUGGUGCAGUCUGAAAGUUACACCCAAGAUAAGACUUUAACUGCACCAGAGGAGCAGGCCUCCACAAGCACCAGCAUAUGUGAGCUCUGUACCUGGAGAGGUGAGACGCUGUCGUGUAUUGAUCUCAGCCCAAAGCGGAGGCUCCGCCACAUGCCUGUGCCAAAGCCCAACACCUACAACGGCACCUUCACCAUCUUGUAAGAAUCACCUUUCCUCCAUUGUCCUCUGUGUCCUGCCUGACAUGGCAGCCUUUCCCUUGAGGCCUUCCUGGGCCUUCUUUAUCUCCCCAAGCCAUACUGACAGCUGACUUUCUGCUUUCACCUUUGCUUGUCCACUCUUCCUUCUCCUCAUCCUUUACUGUUAGGCCCCUUUUCCAAUCCUUUGCUUCUGAUUGCUCAGCAACAUACAUAUUAAGUGUACAAAUAAAUUAUUGAAUAAAAGAAGUGAUACAGAAAAAAAAAAAAAAAAGGCUGUCACAAUUCUGUGGGCCACUGAUCCUUCACUAUCUCCUCAAGGUUCUGUGUCUACCAAUGUUCCAAAAGACAUUCGUCUUCCCUCCCUCUCUUCCAUACACAGCG